rnacentral:lncRNA from 1 species
UCGCCCGAUCUGGUCUCCUCCGCCGCACGGUUGGAUCAAGGCGAACAUUGACGCCUCUUUAAGCUUGCAACGAGGUUCGGUAGGUUUCGGUUGUGUAAUCCGGAAGGAUGAUGGGAGUUUUGUGGCUGCUAGAGCAGGCUCUUUUUAUAGCCAGAUGGAUGCAAAGUGUACUGAAGCUAUAGCAUUCCGGGAAGCAUUGAGCUGG